UACGUAGGGGGCAAGCGUUGUCCGGAUUUAUUGGGCGUAAAGAGCUCGUAGGCGGUUUGUCGCGUCUGCUGUGAAAACCCGAGGCUCAACCUCGGGCCUGCAGUGGGUACGGGCAGACUAGAGUGCGGUAGGGGAGAUUGGAAUUCCUGGUGUAGCGGUGGAAUGCGCAGAUAUCAGGAGGAACACCAAGGGCGAAGGCAGAUCUCUGGGCCGUAACUGACGCUGAGGAGCAAAGCAUGGGGAGCGAACAGG
rnacentral:rRNA from 1 species